rnacentral:rRNA from 1 species
AAUCGAAGCAGUGAACUUAAGCCCCAGUAAACGGCGGCCGUAACUAUAACGGUCCUAAGGUAGCGAAAUUCCUUGUCGGGUAAGUUCCGACCCGCACGAAAGGCGUAACGAUUUGGGCACUGUCUCAACAACAGACUCGGUGAAAUUGUAAUUCCGGUGAAGAUGCCGGAUACCUGCGACAGGACGGAAAGACCCCAUGGAGCUUUACUGUAGCUUGACAUUGGGUCUUGGUACUACAUGUACAGGAUAGGUGGGAGGCUUUGAAACCAGGACGCCAGUUUUGGCGGAGCCAUCCUUGGGAUACCACCCUUGUAGUACUGGGACUCUAACCAUAGGCCAUGAAUCUGGUCUUGGGACACUGUCAGGUGGGCAGUUUGACUGGGGCGGUCGCCUCCCAAAAGGUAACGGAGGCGCUCAAAGGUUCUCUCAGUACGGUCGGAAAUCGUACGUAGAGUGUAAAGGCAAAAGAGAGCUUGAUUGCAAGACAUACAGGUCGAGCAAGGAGGAAAAUCGGACUUAGUGAUCCGGUGGUUCUGCGUGGAAGGGCCAUCGCUCAACGGAUAAAAGCUACCCUGGGGAUAACAGGCUUAUCUCCCCCAAGAGUCCACAUCGACGGGGAGGUUUGGCACCUCGAUGUCGGCUCAUCACAUCCUGGGGCUGUAGUAGGUCCCAAGGGUUGGGCUGUUCGC